rnacentral:rRNA from 1 species
AUUGAACGCUGGCGGCAUGCCUUACACAUGCAAGUCGAACGGCAGCACGGAGCUUGCUCUGGUGGCGAGUGGCGAACGGGUGAGUAAUAUAUCGGAACGUACCCUAGAGUGGGGGAUAACGUAGCGAAAGUUACGCUAAUACCGCAUACGAUCUAAGGAUGAAAGUGGGGGAUCGCAAGACCUCAUGCUCGUGGAGCGGCCGAUAUCUGAUUAGCUAGUUGGUAGGGUAAAAGCCUACCAAGGCAUCGAUCAGUAGCUGGUCUGAGAGGACGACCAGCCACACUGGAACUGAGACACGGUCCAGACUCCUACGGGAGGCAGCAGUGGGGAAUUUUGGACAAUGGGCGAAAGCCUGAUCCAGCAAUGCCGCGUGAGUGAAGAAGGCCUUCGGGUUGUAAAGCUCUUUUGUCAGGGAAGAAACGGUGGGAGCUAAUAUCUCUUGCUAAUGACGGUACCUGAAGAAUAAGCACCGGCUAACUACGUGCCAGCAGCCGCGGUAAUACGUAGGGUGCAAGCGUUAAUCGGAAUUACUGGGCGUAAAGCGUGCGCAGGCGGUUUUGUAAGUCUGAUGUGAAAUCCCCGGGCUCAACCUGGGAAUUGCAUUGGAGACUGCAAGGCUAGAAUCUGGCAGAGGGGGGUAGAAUUCCACGUGUAGCAGUGAAAUGCGUAGAUAUGUGGAGGAACACCGAUGGCGAAGGCAGCCCCCUGGGUCAAGAUUGACGCUCAUGCACGAAAGCGUGGGGAGCAAACAGGAUUAGAUACCCUGGUAGUCCACGCCCUAAACGAUGUCUACUAGUUGUCGGGUCUUAAUUGACUUGGUAACGCAGCUAACGCGUGAAGUAGACCGCCUGGGGAGUACGGUCGCAAGAUUAAAACUCAAAGGAAUUGACGGGGACCCGCACAAGCGGUGGAUGAUGUGGAUUAAUUCGAUGCAACGCGAAAAACCUUACCUACCCUUGGCAUGGCUGGAAUCCUUGAGAGAUCAGGGAGUGCUCGAAAGAGAACCAGUACACAGGUGCUGCAUGGCUGUCGUCAGCUCGUGUCGUGAGAUGUUGGGUUAAGUCCCGCAACGAGCGCAACCCUUGUCAUUAGUUGCUACGAAAGGGCACUCUAAUGAGACUGCCGGUGACAAACCGGAGGAAGGUGGGGAUGACGUCAAGUCCUCAUGGCCCUUAUGGGUAGGGCUUCACACGUCAUACAAUGGUACAUACAGAGCGCCGCCAACCCGCGAGGGGGAGCUAAUCGCAGAAAGUGUAUCGUAGUCCGGAUUGUAGUCUGCAACUCGACUGCAUGAAGUUGGAAUCGCUAGUAAUCGCGGAUCAGCAUGUCGCGGUGAAUACGUUCCCGGGUCU